rfam:Triticum aestivum genome assembly, contig: Triticum_aestivum_CS42_TGACv1_scaffold_178138_2DS
GACGUGCUCCCUCUGUCCCAAAAUUCUUGUCUUAGCUUAGUCUAGAUACGGAUGCAUCUAAUACUAAAACAUGACUUGAUACAUCCGUAUUUAGACAAAUCUAAGACAAGAAUCUUAGGACGGAGGGAGUACAAC